CUGUAUUCUGUACCAACUGCCAUUUUGUGAGUUGAAAGAUUUGCAAAAGUGAGAAGACCUCAUCUUCAACCUUAAGUGUUUUAAAAUGGGCAACUUGAAUUUCUGUUCUGGAGGAUGUUUUGUCUGGAAGACCAGAAGAGACACUCCCAGAAUCCAAGAACAUUAACAACUAGCUGGGUCAAGAGAGUUCAUUGCUGGCCACGCAAUAGGGUGCACCCUAUAAAUGACUCAGUUGAAGGUACUGUGGAACUUUUCUAAGUUCACUCAUGAAUAAAUAUUGUAGCAUGUUCAGUGUCUCAUAUUUAAGGAAAAAUGGAAGUAUUAAGGAAUAUUCUUCGUUUAUUUCAUGUGUUCAAAUUGAAACUUACUGUGUCAGUUGAUACUGUUUUAAGUAUGGAAGGAAACAUGCAUUUAAAAUUCAACCUUGGAUUCAUGGCUUCCCUGUUGGCUCAGAAGUUAAAGUGUCUGCCUCCAAUGCGGGAAACCCAGAGCUCUCUGAGGAUGAGCUGUCCACCUCAAACUUGGAGGAAGAGGCCCUGCCCACCGGUGUGGUAAGUGCCCCAAUCUAUCUGAG
ensembl:lncRNA